rnacentral:rRNA from 1 species
UACGUAGGGGCUAGGUUAUCCGGAAUUACUGGGCGUAAAGGGUGCGUAGGUGGUUUCUUAAGUCAGAGGUGAAGGGCUACGGCUCAAACCGUAGUAAGCCUUUGAAACUGGGAAACUUGAGUGCAGGAGAGGAGAGUGGAAUUCCUAGUGUAGCGGUGAAAUGCGUAGAUAUUAGGAGGAAACACCAGUUGCGAAGGCGGCUCUCUGGACUGUAACUGACACUGAGGCACGAAAGCGUGGGGAGCAAACAGGAUUUAGAUACCCUGGUAGUCCCUGAG